CCGGGGGAUAAAAGAAUGGAGGGCGCUUCAGUCAAUUCAAGUACAUUAUCCCCAAAGACUAUAGUACUAUUACUAUACUACAAGUGGAGUGCCCUCUCCUACACGAACAACGAAGAGCAGAAAGCCAUGGCGACUUCCUUAUCUUCUCUGGCCUCAUCCUUGGCUUCUCUCUCCUUCUCUACCCAAAUUUCCCAAAAACCCCAUGCCUCCGCUCUCUCCUUCACUUCUGCUAAGUCCCUUUCCUUAUCUAAGACUUCUACUCCCGUCAUUGCCGCCUCCGCUGCUGCUGUCCCGUCGCCGGUUGAUUUGGAGACUGCCGACCUCAAGCAGCUAGUCAAAUCCAGACUUCCCGGAGGUUUUGCAGCCCAGACCAUCAUCGGCACCGGCCGCCGGAAGAGUGCCAUUGCCCGGGUUGUCCUCCAAGAGGGCUCCGGCAAAAUCAUCAUCAACUACCGUGACGCUAAGGAAUAUCUUCAAGGAAAUCCACUGUGGCUUCAGUAUGUGAAAACCCCUUUGUCUACUUUAGGAUAUGAGAGCAGUUAUGAUGUGUUUGUCAAAGCACAAGGUGGUGGUUUAUCAGGGCAGGCUCAGGCAAUAUCUCUUGGCAUUGCUCGUGCUCUACUGAAAGUCAGUGAGAGUCAUAGAACACCUCUGAGGCAAGAAGGAUUGCUGACAAGGGAUGCGAGAGUGGUUGAAAGGAAGAAAGUUGGUCUCAAGAAGGCCCGAAAAGCUCCACAAUACUCCAAGCGUUGAGCUUGCAGUAACCUAAAAUAAACUUGGCAAGGAAAGGGAAUUGAACCCCUGUGGAAAGAAGUAGAACUAUGGAUGGCAAGGGUUACCGGUCCUAGUUUAGAAUUGAGUUCUGCAGAUGGAUUCAGUUUUUGGCUUGCUGGUCCCAUGUUCUUACUGGUGGUAGAUUGGACUUGUGGACUUGGUUUUGUUGCUGAACAACUGUAAACUGCUCUAUGAAUGUCUGAGCCCCACCUAUUGGUUUGGUAUUUCAUUUUUGCGGUUGAAAUGGACAUCAGGGAUCCUGAUAUCCUGGACAAAUGAAGAUAAGGUUGAAAGCUGGGAUGUGUAACAUUUCUGUAAAUCAGUCGCUGUAUAUGUAGGGAACUGAGGUGACGCCCUUAUUUCUGCAAUUGUCACUAUUCAGAAUUUAUUUUUGACGCAAUCAAUGCAUCCGCUAAAUUUACAAUCGCCAAUUUGAGGCAGACCCUUGAAGAAUCUCCUAUGAAGAUGCUGAACUGUAUCUUUGAUUGAGCAAAUAUGUUUUCCCUUGCAUAAA